ensembl:miRNA MIRLET7A3 microRNA let-7a-3
ACACUGUCCUUUGGGGUGAGGUAGUAGGUUGUAUAGUUUUAGGGUCACACCCUUCCUGUCAGAUAACUAUACAACUUACUGUCUUUCCUGAAGUGGCUGUAAUGUC